rnacentral:rRNA from 1 species
AUAACACCUGGGAACAGAUGCUAAUACCGGAUAACACAGCUGAUGCCUAUCAACUGUUUAAAAGAUGGGUUCUGCUAUCACUCUUGGAUGGACCUGCGGUGCAUUAGCUAGUUGGUAGGGUAACGGCCUACCAAGGCGAUGAUGCAUAGCCGAGUUGAGAGACUGAUCGGCCACAUUGGGACUGAGACACGGCCCAAACUCCUACGGGAGGCAGCAGUAGGGAAUCUUCCACAAUGGACGCAAGUCUGAUGGAGCAACGCCGCGUGAGUGAAGAAGGGUUCCGGCUCGUAAAGCUCUGUUGUUGGUGAAGAAGGACAGGGGUAGUAACUAACCUUUGUUUGACGGUAAUCAAUUAGAAAGUCACGGCUAACUACGUGCCAGCAGCCGCGGUAAU